GUCCUUUGUUUGUUUGUGGCCACUCCAUUCCCUCUCGAUACGAUGCUAACAUCCCACGAGGAGGCCCGCCUUCCCAAGCCAAUUCCAGAAACUCAAAUUCCCGCCCUUCUUUGCAGCCGGGAUGCGGUCACAUGGUCCAGGCUCUGCCAAUCAGACACACCCAUGUGAGACAGGGAUUCAGGGCGAAGCUUGGCUAUGUCCAAGCGAUCUGAGCUUCUAGAAAACGCUAUGGCAAAGCUUUUGGUUCUUCCUGGGGCUCAGCGCGGCUCAGCCUGCAGAGCCCAAGCCCGAUUUCAUCAGGACAGACACGGGGGCGGUGUUGUGUUGCCAAAGCAGCCCGGGUGGUGUGGGUGAAGUCUUUUCUGGCCGCCUGGCUUCAAAGCCUGCAUUCUGACCCUCCCACAGAUUCGAGGAUACUUAGUAUCUUUUAUCAAAUCCCUUUCUGGCUUUAACUAGCCAAAGCCGGUCCUCUAGGAGCAACCUGGUUCCCGCAGGCAGAGGCAGUAACCUACUCUGACUCGGGGCUCCUGCUCCCGAGUCCUCCCUCCAAGGUGAGUCCUCCCUCCAAGGUGAGUCCUCCCUCCAAGGUGAAGGGCACAGACCAGAAUACAUCCAGCUCAUGGCAGAGGCCUCUGCUGCAGUCUUGGUCGGCAGCCCAGCCCUCAUGGGCACAGCACCCGCCAGAGCCCCAGACGACCGGAUGUGAACACAAGUGGAUGAGUCACCAGGAGCAAUCACGGGACGAGGAUAGCCCUGGGUGCCUGGAGACCGAGCUGCUGCCAAAGCCACGCAGGAGAUGGCGCUGAGACUGACGGGAGCCACUUCCUGGGACAGAGCCGUGGGGUGAGGCCAGGUCCCACUGGAAGGAAGGAGUUCCAGAAAUAACAGCAUCCUGGCUUUGCAAGGUGGAUAGAACCAGCCGGGCGAUCUGCGCCGAGGGCCGCCAGGGAACUCACGGAAGGAUGAAAUGAGGCGUGUGGGUGUCAACAGAAUGGUCCCCUUGAGGUGAAACCAGCAAGGGGGUGGGGAGUCAGGCCAGUCCUGAGGGCCCCGAAAAGCCGAUUAUCCAGCCAGGACGCUCACGGAGACGGAUGCCAUCGGGGCGACGAGGGACCCCAGAGGAGAAAGGCUGUCCCAGACAGUGUGGAUGGAGACGGUCAGGGGCCGGGGUGUCAGGAGGCCAGAGGAUCCCGAGAAUCACACUGAGGCCCCACCCAGGCCCUGGCUCAGUGGCUGAGGGAUUUUCCAGGCUGGGGGACAUCUGAGCGCCCGAGGCCUCCCAAGUCUCCCAGGCAGACACCGAGCUCCCAAAUGUGGCCAGAGUCCCCCUCCUGCCUGGAAGGAAGCUGGAAAACUUAGGCUGAGGCCUCCGACCCCCAAGGACCAUGGAGUUUGCUGUGAAUCAUGGGAAUGAGAUGUGGCCAGGGGGCGCUUUGCAGACCCUUUGACUCUGCGAGCGUCUGAGUUGGUGAAUGAGGGCCUCACCUGAAACCCGAUCCGUGGCACGGGCCUAUGCUACUAGAAAAUUCUCAACUCCAACCAUGGCCUGCUUUUUCCUUCUACCAGACAGCACCGUACUAGAAGUUCUGCAGGAAACGUGUCCAUCCUUCCUGCCGCAGAGAUGAGACAGAGGGGAAGAGGGUCCCCGUUAUUUUUUGCUCCCCGAGGGUGAAGACGCGAGCCUGACGUCCUGAAGAAGGGCAGGAGGUCAGCAACCUCAGUGGUGCCAAACGUGAGGCAGGAAUCUGAUUUAGGAAAAGAGGUUCCCGAUUUUCCUGAUUUCGUUAAAUUACUUUAAAUGUCUAUUGAUUGAUUGAUUUGGGGAGAGAGUGAGCAAGCGAGAGCGGGGUAGGGCCAGAGAGAGAG